AAACGAAACGAGUAUAGAAUUUAAGAAAAGAUUUUAAAAAUAGAUAAAAAUUAGACUGAAUAAAAUUUUUAAAAAAAUUUCUCAAAGAAAUAUGUUGAAUAUUGAAAUGUUAAUAAAGAGAUAGUAAUAAAUGCCAUCACGUUGCAAUCCUGAAUGAAAUCUCCUCUCGAGCGAAAUUCUUUGAACGACAGCCCCAAGAAUAGAGGAUUAUACUCAUGAUGAGCGAUGUGAUUUGAAUGAGAGAAUAAGAUCGAGGAUCAAAAGGGAUGAAAG